rnacentral:rRNA from 1 species
UACGGGAGGCGAGCAGUGGGGAAGUAAUUGGUACAAUAGGGCGGAAAGACCUGAUCCACGCCACUGCCGCCAUGAGUGAAGAAGGCCUUCCGGGUUGUAAAGACUCUUUUAGUUGAGAAAGAAUAAUGACGGUACUCACAGAAGAAGUCCUGGCUAACUCCGUGCCAGCAGCCGCGGUAAUACGGAGAGGGCUAGCGUUAUUCGGAAUUAUUGGGCGUAAAGAGCGCGUAGGCUGAUUAGUAAGUUAAAAGUGAAAUCCCAAAGCUUAACUUUGGAAUUGCUUUUUAAAACUGCUAGUCUAGAGAUUGAAAGAGGAUAGAGGAAUUCCUAGUGUAGAGGUGAAAUUCGUAAAUAUUAGGAGGAACACCAGUGGCGAAGGCGUCUAUCUGGUUCAAAUCUGACGCUGAGGCGCGAAGGGCUGGGGAGCAAACAGGGAUUAGAUACC